AUGUCAGCCAGGUGUAUGACUGUAAUGUCAGCCAGGUGUAUGACUGAUGUCAGCCAGGUGUAUGACUGUAAUGUCAGCCAGGUGUAUGACUGUAAUGUCAGCCAGGUGUAUGACUGUGAUAUCAGCCAGGUGUAUGACUGUGAUAUCAGCCAGGUGUAUGACUGUAAUGUCAGCCAGGUGUAUGACUGUGAUAUCAGCCAGGUGUAUGACUGUAAUGUCAGCCAGGUGUA